rnacentral:rRNA from 1 species
AGUGAACGCUGGCGGCGUGCUUAACACAUGCAAGUCGAACGAGAACGGAUUAUAGCUUGCUAUAAUUGUCAGCUAAGUGGCGCACGGGUGAGUAAUGUAUAGGUAAUAUGCCUCUUACUAAGGGAUAACAAAUGGAAACGUUUGCUAAUACCUUAUACUCCUUAUUAACAUAAGUUAAUAAGGGAAAGAUUUAUUGGUAAGAGAUUAGCCUGUAUUGUAUCAGUUAGUUGGUGGGGUAAUGGCUUACCAAGACUAUGACACAUAACUGGUUUGAGAGGAUGACCAGUCACACGGGAACUGAGACACGGUCCAGACUCCUACGGGAGGCAGCAGUGGGGAAUAUUGCACAAUGGACGAAAGUCUGAUGCAGCAACGCCGCGUGGAGGAUGACACAUUUCGGUGCGUAAACUCCUUUUAUAUGAGAAGAUAAUGACGGUAUUAUAUGAAUAAGCACCGGCUAACUCCGUGCCAGCAGCCGCCGUAA